UUUAAAUGAUAAUUUUUCAUGCAAAGAAAACUAUAAUUUAGCAGGUAGGUUUGAUACGGUUAGUUUUUGUGUGGGGCGCUUUGUGGACUACAACUCCCGCUGCUCUCGACGCGUAUGAUAUGCGUCACCACCACUCACAAACAGUUUUUUUGGCCUGUCAGUGGUGGAUUUUUUUGGCCUCUCAGUGUAUCGAUACAUGGUGUGUUUGCAGUUGAAAAAUCUUUUUGUGGUCCUGCAACACCCAUACAUGUAAUCAAGAAUAUGUGGGGGCCAGCACAGAAGAUCAUCUGUGAGGUCGACCAGUGUCGUUUGAAUGCUGAAUUUGCUCAAAGGAGCGGCAUGUUGCCUUUCGAUUGCCACCACAUCCAAUCAUUGUAUUGCCCACGCACUGACGGUCAAACCAUGACACUCUUUACAUUGUAAUGGGGGCCAAUUGUGAUUUCAGAGAGGUAUGUGUAAAUCGUGACACAUUAUGCAUAGUGUACAAGGUGUUAUUUUUUUACAACAUAUUAACAUCUUCCUGCAUUUCCUUCUUCAAAGGAAAACAUGCUGCAAAUUAGGAGAUGGUGAUGUCUCGCUCUCCUGCAGAACUUCCCUUAGCCGUCCGAAGAAGACCGAUUGCAGGACAGAAAACGGCGACGAGUGCAAGGAGGGCUACAGACGCUGGGAAAUUGACAGAACUCGAAACCGGGAACAGGGUUGCUUGUUAUGGGCCAGAAAAAUACCAUGAUACUUGCCAUUGUUAAACAUUUAUGGAAGCUUAAGGAAUGUAUUUGGCUUAGCUAAAACAAAUUUCUUUGCAGAUCAAACAUUUUUUGCCUGGGGUGAAAAUAAAAAUCAA